rnacentral:rRNA from 1 species
GGGAAUCUACCCAGAUCUACGGAACAACAGAGGGAAACUUCUGCUAAUACCGUAUACGCCCUACGGGGGAAAGAUUUAUCGGAUUUGGAUGAGCCCGCGUAAGAUUAGCUAGUUGGUGAGGUAAUGGCUCACCAAGGCGACGAUCUUUAGCUGGUCUGAGAGGAUGAUCAGCCACACUGGGACUGAGACACGGCCCAGACUCCUACGGGAGGCAGCAGUGGGGAAUAUUGGACAAUGGGCGCAAGCCUGAUCCAGCCAUGCCGCGUGAGUGAUGAAGGCCUUAGGGUUGUAAAGCUCUUUCAGUGGGGAAGAUAAUGACGGUAGUCGGAGAAGAAGCCCCGGCUAACUUCGUGCCAGCAGCCGCGGUAAUACGAAGGGGGCUAGCGUUGUUCGGAUUUACUGGGCGUAAAGCGCACGUAGGCGGUUUGUUAAGUCAGGGGUGAAAUCCCGGAGCUCAACUCCGGAACUGCCUUUGAUACUGGCAAGCUAGAGUCCGGAAGAGGUAAGUGGAACUCCUAGU